GACGAACGCUGGCGGCGUGCUUAACACAUGCAAGUCGAACGAUGAAGCCCUUCGGGGUGGAUUAGUGGCGAACGGGUGAGUAACACGUGGGCAAUCUGCCCUGCACUCUGGGACAAGCCCUGGAAACGGGGUCUAAUACCGGAUAUGACUGUCCACCGCAUGGUGGAUGGUGUAAAGCUCCGGCGGUGCAGGAUGAGCCCGCGGCCUAUCAGCUAGUUGGUGAGGUAGUGGCUCACCAAGGCGACGACGGGUAGCCGGCCUGAGAGGGCGACCGGCCACACUGGGACUGAGACACGGCCCAGACUCCUACGGGAGGCAGCAGUGGGGAAUAUUGCACAAUGGGCGAAAGCCUGAUGCAGCGACGCCGCGUGAGGGAUGACGGCCUUCGGGUUGUAAACCUCUUUCAGCAGGGAAGAAGCGAAAGUGACGGUACCUGCAGAAGAAGCGCCGGCUAACUACGUGCCAGCAGCCGCCGUAAUAC
rnacentral:rRNA from 1 species